UGCAUCGGCCGGGAAUGGAACCCAGGCCGCCCGCGUGGCAGGCGAGCAUUCUACCACUGAACCACCGAUGC